ensembl:misc_RNA 7SK 7SK RNA
GGAUGUGAGGUGGUUGGCAGUGACAUCUGUCACUCAUUGAUCACCAGGGUUGACUGGACUGAUCUCCAUUGCUAGGCAGGUUUCUCUCUUCACUGUCACCGCUCCAUAUGUGUCCCUCCUCCCAUAAGCUCCUAAAGGGACCAUUUUCUAGAUCAAGGGCAUAGGGGUAGUUGCACUCCCCUGCUAGACCCUCCAAACAAGCUCUCAAAGGGGCAAGCAUGCACGUUUACUAUGAGGAUAGAUUGGCAGGCACGAUGUAGCUCUUGAAGCGAUGCUGGGAUCUAAACUGUACAUCAUCAGACUGCUACCAGC